GGAGGAAGACAGCUGCGCAGGAAAGUUGGGUCGGGGGAGGGGGCCCGAGCUAGACCUUGGCAGGAGGAAAGAGCUCAACCUGUUGAGACCACUGAUGGGUAAUUCGAUUCCCCGGAGAAGGAGUGAACUGGAGAUGCCAAAAGUACAAUCAACUCCAUCAGACUAAGGAAUUCUGGAAGGACUGACUGGCAGGCAGCUUCGAGCUCCGCUCCGGGAUGAGUUAAACGGGGAACCAUUCAUUUAACAAAAAGAUCCUUACACCUACCUCGAAAGCUCGAGAGCCUGGAACGGACAGAGCUAGCUGCCCUCACAAGUCUGAGUUUGAUUACCGUGCUCUCGCUUGGACAACACAAAGCCUUGCCAGGCGGCCGCGCACCCUCCCUCCCCGCCGCGCAGUGGGCACAGCCUCCCCAAAAUAGUUGCCCGGGUAGGUACCACGGCGCUGAGGUCGGUCAGCUGACGAGGGGAGCCCGCAGAACUGCGGUCACACAUGAAAUGACAGAGCCGAAUAGAGGCGGCCGCCCCGGCGCCCGGUGACAGCGGGCUCACCUCGGGCGUCCUCCCAGGAACGCGACGAGCGCCCCCGCGGCCGCCCAGAAACGUGCCGGGGAGGCUCGUUCCCUCUCCACCCUCCCCGGGAGCGCCGUCUGGGCACCGAGGACGCCGGACCCGCAGGGCCUGUGGGCGAGCACACACCCCUCUGCCUUUCCCUCCCCGGUCCGCGUCCCCCACAUCCCCAAAGAUCGCGUUGGAAGACGUCCACUUUGCGUGGAGUAAUUGAAAAGUAAAAACAUCAAAUGGUCUGUCCGGGGAGAGGGGGUGGGGACGAGAGAUAGUUGUUAAUGCUUAACGUGUUUGUGCCGGUUACACGACCGCUUUGAAAUCCGCCCGGGCAGAUCUGCAAGUUAUUUGAAUGUAUUAUUCCAGUACCUGUCAUUUAUCACUUUAUUCAACACGUCUUUGCCAACUCAAUAGCUUUUGAUCUCACUCUGCCUCCAUUUCGUAAUUUCCGCCCUCUUAAACAUAUCAAAUACUUACUAAAAAAACGUGAACAAUAUCGAAACCCACCGAAA